GACGAACGCUGGCAGCGUGCUUAACACAUGCAAGUCGAACGGAAAGGCCCUGCUUGCAGGGUGCUCGAGUGGCGAACGGGUGAGUAACACGUGGGUGAUCUGCCCCUUACUUUGGGAUAAGCCUGGGAAACUGGGUCUAAUACUGGAUAGGACCAUGCUGUAGGUGGUGUGGUGGAAAGAUUAGUUUCGGUAAGGGAUGAGCUCGCGGCCUAUCAGCUUGUUGGUGGGGUAAUGGCCUACCAAGGCGUCGACGGGUAGCCGGCCUGAGAGGGUGGACGGCCACAUUGGGACUGAGAUACGGCCCAGACUCCUACGGGAGGCAGCAGUGGGGAAUAUUGCACAAUGGGCGCAAGCCUGAUGCAGCGACGCCGCGUGGGGGAUGACGGCCUUCGGGUUGUAAACUCCUUUCAGCCAUGACGAAGCCCUUGUGGUGACGGUAGUGGUAGAAGAAGCACCGGCUAACUACGUG
rnacentral:rRNA from 1 species